rnacentral:rRNA from 1 species
AGCUCCAGUAGCGUAUAUUAAAGUUGCUGCAGUUAAAAAGCUCGUAGUUGGAUUUCUGGUUGAGCGCGCCUGGCCCGCCUCGAUAGAGCGUGAGUGCCGGCGCGCGCUUGCCAUCCUUCUAGAAAACGUUUCCUCCUUCACUGGUUGGAUUCGCAAUCUAGAUCAUUUACUUUGAAAAAAUUAGAGUGUUUAAAGCAGGCUUGUGCUAUGAAUACAUUAGCAUGGAAUAAUAAUUUAGGACUUCGGUUCUAUUUUGUUGGUUUCUAGUACUGAAGUAAUGAUUGAUAGGGAGCGUUGGGGGUGCUAGUAUUCAGCGGCCAGAGGUGAAAUUCUUGGAUUCGCUGAAGACUAACUUAUGCGAAAGCAUUCACCAAGGAGCUCUUCU